AGCGGGGCAGAGAUGAGCCUCCCACGAGUGGGGACCGAGGAGCCCCGACCGCUGUUGUGUCUCAGGCCGUGACCUCCGCUGGAACCAGAGGCCAGCCUGAGAAAAAGACGAACAGGGAGAGAGCAUAUCAUUGAAAUCCGUGGAGGACAGAGCCCCCCGUUUGAAGGCAAAAGCCAGCAGCUUUCCUCUUGGCCUUUUCAUGAAUUCAGUCAUGCCGGGCCGUCAAAACGUGUUAAGCGCCGACUGUAUGCAAGGUAGAAAGAGACAAGUGGGGUGUGCGGAAACAGAACCGCCCGGGGAACGGGGAGUCUGGUGCUGAGAAGACCGGUGUCCCCCAGGUCGUGGGGCAAACAGCCAGCGAGAGACGCGAGAACCCACCCGACGCACCACGGAGGGGACGUGAUUCUAGCUGCUUCCUCACGGGGCUGCUGUCCAACAGAGGUGAGAUGAGCCUCGGGAAGGCCUCAGCCAGGGCCCUGCACCCCGAGCGCCCCGCAGCGGUUCUCGAGGACAAAACCUCCAAUCUGCAGCCCCAGAGCUUCAGGGUGAAGAUGCUACUGUUUUUAAUUUGGCCACAGACGAAGCCUGUUCCUUCUCGUCAUCCUCCCCUGAAGGAGUUGGUGGCGACAGAUCAGCCUGAAAAUCUGCCAGGCAACAGGUUUUUUCCUCUCUGGAAGUACAGGAGGCAGGGGAUGGGAAGUCACGGCGCCUGUGUACGAAGGUGACCAACGGCCCCCGCUUGCCUGGAGCCGUCCAGUUGAGCAUCGGAAGUCCCACAGCCUGGAAAACCUGGCCAGGCGGGCAGUGGGUCCCUGCACCUUGUAUCGCACUAGGUGCCGUCUGCCCCAGAUAUGGGAGCACCACUCGCCGUCCUGAGUCUCGCCGAAGGAGGAGGGGUUGGAGGAGUCUGACUCAGAGAAGCAGACAAAGUGCGGAGUCCGUGCGAUUGGCGAGCCCGGGGGCCUGACGCCUUCAGAGGGGGCAGCCCUUGCUGGGGGCUUUCAGGGCCACGGCUAGAUUCCUUCCAACGCGCUGCCCUCCUUCCUUCCCAUAAACUUCAGCCAUCUCCUAAAACAGGGAGGGGACGGUCAUGAAGAGACAGACCCAAGAACUGAGCAUCCUUAGGGUAGAAAUAAAGCUGGUGAUGAUAUGAACGAAGGGUCUAGGGCUGGGGAAGGGGGACACAGACUUGGCCCCAAAUCCUGGGGCCUCAAAGCCAAGGGAGCCCUGCCCAGAAGGAGGAAGCAGCGAGCGUGCUGAGAGAGCCCAGCUGGAAUGGGGACGGUCACUCGGCCGGGCUCAUCAAAUCUGUACCGAGGAAGGUGGACUGACUCACUGGGGCCUGCCCUCCACGCUCGCUCGUGCUGGCUCGGCUGGGACCUUUGUUUUCUGUCCUAGGACUGCAGCAGGGUCCUGACACUGAAUGGAGGAACUGGGCUCUACCCAGGAGCGCAGGCUGCCCUGUCCCCAAACCCCGGCUGAUGGCGGGCGCGUCCCGGUGGCUCCCCGAGCCUGGGCUGCAGGUCCUGUCUUCCUUGCACACCUGAUCCUAAAGGCGCGGAGGCCACCAAGGGUCGUACCUUGCUCCCCGAUCUGCCGUGUCUUUCCAGGGGUCCGCAGGUCCUGGGAGGGGCCUUACCUUGAGGACCACAGGCUAUGCCUGCUUCAUUUUUAAACAACAUCAAACAAGCAAGUCGAAACUCAAAUUUGACUUUAUUCCCUCUCGUCCCACCCUGACUUCUAGAAACGGCACCAAGGGGUGCUCUGUGGCAAGUGUUUGUCCCGCAUCUGUUUCCCCCACUGGACGGGGAACUCCCUGGGGGUCCGGUUAUCUGCCCUUUGGACCUCCCCCCCACCCAAUCAUGGUAUCGAAUGAACAACUCAGGAAACAACAGAUGUUGGUGAGGAUGUGGAGAAAGGGGAACGCAUUUGCCCUGUUGGUGGGAAUGCACACUGGUGCAGCCGCUCUGGAAAGCAAUCGGGACGUUCCUCAAAAAUUAAACGGAGAACUUCCUCAUGACUCGGCAAUUGCACUACCAGGAAUCUAUCUAAAGGAUACAAAAAUAUGCCAAUUCGAAGGGCACAUGCUACCCCAAUGAUUAUAGCAGCCCAAAUGUCUGCUGAUUGACAAACGGACAAAGAAGAUGUCGUAUAUAUAUAUUACACACACACACACACACACACACACACACACAGUGGAAUACUACUCAG